GCGAUUUUAGCUCAGUCGGUUAGAGCGCCUGUUUGUGGAGCAGGAGGUCACGGGUUCGAAUCCCGCAAGUCGCC
rnacentral:tRNA from 1 species